GUUAUAUGGUCAAGUGAAGAAGCGCAUACGGUGGAUGCCUUGGCAGUCAGAGGCGAUGAAAGACGUGGUAGCCUGCGAUAAGCUUCGGGGAGUCGGCAAACAGACUUUGAUCCGGAGAUCUCUGAAUGGGGGAACCCACCUAGGAUAACCUAGGUAUCUUGUACUGAAUACAUAGGUGCAAGAGGCGAACCAGGGGAACUGAAACAUCUAAGUACCCUGAGGAAAAGAAAUCAACCGAGAUUCCCUUAGUAGUGGCGAGCGAACGGGGACUAGCCCUUAAGUUGAUUUGAGAUUAGCGGAACGCUCUGGAAAGUGCGGCCAUAGUGGGUGAUAGCCCUGUACGCGAAAAUCUCUUAUCAAUGAAAUCGAGUAGGACGGAGCACGAGAAACUUUGUCUGAAUAUGGGGGGACCAUCCUCCAAGGCUAAAUACUACUGACUGACCGAUAGUGAACUAGUACCGUGAGGGAAAGGCGAAAAGAACCCCGGAGAGGGGAGUGAAAUAGAUCCUGAAACCGUAUGCGUACAAGCAGUGGGAGCCUACUUUGUUAGGUGACUGCGUACCUUUUGUAUAAUGGGUCAGCGACUUAUAUUCAGUGGCGAGCUUAACCGAAUAGGGGAGGCGUAGCGAAAGCGAGUCUUAAUAGGGCGUUUAGUCGCUGGGUAUAGACCCGAAACCGGGCGAUCUAUCCAUGGGCAGGUUGAAGGUUAGGUAACACUGACUGGAGGACCGAACCGACUACCGUUGAAAAGUUAGCGGAUGACCUGUGGAUCGGAGUGAAAGGCUAAUCAAGCUCGGAGAUAGCUGGUUCUCCUCGAAAGCUAUUUAGGUAGCGCCUCAUGUAUCACUGUAGGGGGUAGAGCACUGUUUCGGCUAGGGGGUCAUCCCGACUUACCAAACCGAUGCAAACUCCGAAUACCUACAAGUGCCGAGCAUGGGAGACACACGGCGGGUGCUAACGUCCGUCGUGAAAAGGGAAACAACCCAGACCGUCAGCUAAGGUCCCAAAGUCAUGGUUAAGUGGGAAACGAUGUGGGAAGGCUUAGACAGCUAGGAGGUUGGCUUAGAAGCAGCCACCCUUUAAAGAAAGCGUAAUAGCUCACUAGUCGAGUCGGCCUGCGCGGAAGAUGUAACGGGGCUCAAACCAUGCACCGAAGCUACGGGUAUCACUUAGGUGAUGCGGUAGAGGAGCGUUCUGUAAGCCUGUGAAGGUGAGUUGAGAAGCUUGCUGGAGGUAUCAGAAGUGCGAAUGCUGACAUGAGUAACGACAAUGGGAGUGAAAAACUCCCACGCCGAAAGACCAAGGUUUCCUGCGCAACGUUAAUCGACGCAGGGUUAGUCGGUCCCUAAGGCGAGGCUGAAAAGCGUAGUCGAUGGAAAACAGGUUAAUAUUCCUGUACUUCUGGUUAUUGCGAUGGAGGGACGGAGAAGGCUAGGCCAGCUUGGCGUUGGUUGUCCAAGUUUAAGGUGGUAGGCUGAGAUCUUAGGUAAAUCCGGGAUCUUAAGGCCGAGAGCUGAUGACGAGUGCUCUUUAGAGCGCGAAGUGGUUGAUGCCAUGCUUCCAAGAAAAGCUUCUAAGCUUCAGAUAACCAGGAACCGUACCCCAAACCGACACAGGUGGUUGGGUAGAGAAUACCAAGGCGCUUGAGAGAACUCGGGUGAAGGAACUAGGCAAAAUGGCACCGUAACUUCGGGAGAAGGUGCGCCGGUGAGGGUGAAGGACUUGCUCCGUAAGCCCAUGCCGGUCGAAGAUACCAGGCCGCUGCGACUGUUUAUUAAAAACACAGCACUCUGCAAACACGAAAGUGGACGUAUAGGGUGUGACGCCUGCCCGGUGCCGGAAGGUUAAUUGAUGGGGUUAGCUAACGCGAAGCUCUUGAUCGAAGCCCCGGUAAACGGCGGCCGUAACUAUAACGGUCCUAAGGUAGCGAAAUUCCUUGUCGGGUAAGUUCCGACCUGCACGAAUGGCGUAACGAUGGCGGCGCUGUCUCCACCCGAGACUCAGUGAAAUUGAAAUCGCUGUGAAGAUGCAGUGUAUCCGCGGCUAGACGGAAAGACCCCGUGAACCUUUACUAUAGCUUUGCACUGGACUUUGAAUUUGCUUGUGUAGGAUAGGUGGGAGGCUUUGAAGCGUGGACGCCAGUUCGCGUGGAGCCAUCCUUGAAAUACCACCCUGGCAACUUUGAGGUUCUAACUCAGGUCCGUCAUCCGGAUCGAGGACAGUGUAUGGUGGGUAGUUUGACUGGGGCGGUCUCCUCCUAAAGAGUAACGGAGGAGUACGAAGGUGCGCUCAGACCGGUCGGAAAUCGGUCGUAGAGUAUAAAGGCAAAAGCGCGCUUGACUGCGAGACAGACACGUCGAGCAGGUACGAAAGUAGGUCUUAGUGAUCCGGUGGUUCUGUAUGGAAGGGCCAUCGCUCAACGGAUAAAAGGUACUCCGGGGAUAACAGGCUGAUACCGCCCAAGAGUUCAUAUCGACGGCGGUGUUUGGCACCUCGAUGUCGGCUCAUCACAUCCUGGGGCUGAAGCCGGUCCCAAGGGUAUGGCUGUUCGCCAUUUAAAGUGGUACGCGAGCUGGGUUUAGAACGUCGUGAGACAGUUCGGUCCCUAUCUGCCGUGGACGUUUGAGAUUUGAGAGGGGCUGCUCCUAGUACGAGAGGACCGGAGUGGACGAACCUCUGGUGUUCCGGUUGUCACGCCAGUGGCAUUGCCGGGUAGCUAUGUUCGGAAGAGAUAACCGCUGAAAGCAUCUAAGCGGGAAACUUGCCUCAAGAUGAGAUCUCACUGGAGCCUUGAGCUCCCUGAAGGGCCGUCGAAGACUACGACGUUGAUAGGUUGGGUGUGUAAGUGCUGUGAGGCAUUGAGCUAACCAAUACUAAUUGCCCGUGAGGCUUGACCAUAUAACACCCAAGCAAUU
rnacentral:rRNA from 1 species